rnacentral:rRNA from 1 species
AUUGAACGCUGGCGGCAUGCCUUACACAUGCAAGUCGAACGGCAGCACGGGUGCUUGCACCUGGUGGCGAGUGGCGAACGGGUGAGUAAUACAUCGGAACAUGUCCUGUAGUGGGGGAUAGCCCGUCGAAAGCCGGAUUAAUACCGCAUACGAUCUACGGAUGAAAGCGGGGGACCUUCGGGCCUCGCGCUAUAGGGUUGGCCGAUGGCUGAUUAGCUAGUUGGUGGGGUAAAGGCCUACCAAGGCGACGAUCAGUAGCUGGUCUGAGAGGACGACCAGCCACACUGGGACUGAGACACGGCCCAGACUCCUACGGGAGGCAGCAGUGGGGAAUUUUGGACAAUGGGCGAAAGCCUGAUCCAGCAAUGCCGCGUGUGUGAAGAAGGCCUUCGGGUUGUAAAGCACUUUUGUCCGGAAAGAAAUCCUUGGCUCUAAUACAGUCGGGGGAUGACGGUACCGGAAGAAUAAGCACCGGCUAACUACGUG